AGUUCAGAUUCGGACCCGUCACUACUCACUUGUCUGGCUUUACUAACCUUUAGGGUUAAGGAGAACUCCUGGGUUGUAGGCCCGAAUCCGGUCCAAUCCGCCUAAGUUGUACUCUACGUCUAUCCCCUGUUAUCGGCGCUCGCCCUCGGGCCUCAGUCUGUUCUUCCCGCCGUGAGGCGGAAGCCGAGUUUCAUAAACCCUUUUUUCGGUUGGGAGAAAAAAAAGAAAAACAAUAUUAUAAUACAGUGAAUCGGAGAAAAGCUGUUAGUCCAGGACUCCAGAACGAAUGCUACAUAGUGAAAACUGGACAGCAAAGUGGGAUGAAUAAUGGCUCUGCGGUCCGUUUUCGACGAGGGAGUUAUCAGAAGCGAGUUCGAGAAGGCGGGAAUCGACACUCAGUUUAUACCCCUCAUUUGGAAAUACGUUCUUCAGAACCCUAAUCGUGAAUUGGAUGAAGUUCCUUCGUUGCCGUCAGCUGCUUACCCUUUGCUUCGUUCAAAGUUCAGAUCUUCCACUUCGACCAUCAAUUCUAUCGUCGAAUCCAAUGAUAACGUUACCACUAAGCUUCUUAUAAGGCUACAGAAUGGAGCUUUUAUUGAAGCUGUUAUUAUGAGAUAUGACACACGUUUAGGAACAUAUGGUGGAAAACCCCGUCCUGGAGGCUUAAGAUCAACUCUGUGCAUAUCAUCCCAGGUGGGUUGCAAAAUGGGUUGUAAGUUCUGUGCAACUGGUAGCAUGGGGUUGAAAAGCAAUCUUUCAUCAGGAGAAAUUGUGGAACAAUUGGUCCAUGCCUGUCGUUUGUCACAUAUACGCAAUGUUGUUUUCAUGGGAAUGGGCGAACCAUUGAAUAACUACAUUGCAGUAGUAGAAGCUAUCCGGACUAUGACAGGAUUUCCGUUUCAGCUGUCACCAAAGAAAAUUACAGUAUCAACUGUUGGGAUCAUUCACGCCAUCAACAAACUCCAUUCUGACCUACCAAAUGUGAACUUGGCUGUGUCACUGCAUGCACCGGUUCAAGAUAUCCGCUGCCAAAUAAUGCCUGCAGCUCGUGCUUUUCCUCUUGAAAGACUUAUGGAUACAUUAAAAAACUAUCAAAAAAACAGUCAACAGAAAAUAUUUAUUGAGUACAUAAUGCUGAAUGGGGUGAAUGAUGAAGAGAAGCAUGCCCACCAGCUUGGAAAAUUGCUAGAGACAUUUCAAGUGGUUGUAAACUUGAUACCUUUCAAUCCAAUUGGUAGUUUGAGUCCUUUCAAAAGUAGCAAUGAACAAGCUGUUAAAAGCUUCCAGAAGAUCCUUAGAGGUACGUAUGGCAUCAGGACAACGAUUCGUAAACAAAUGGGUCAAGAUAUAAGCGGUGCAUGUGGUCAACUGGUGGUGAAUCUCCCAGAUAAGGAAUUGAUUAGAAGCUCAGGUCUCACAACCGACAUCGAAGAUCUUUGUGCUGGAUAGAGUCAAAUCCUUUGGUAUUCUCUUUCCGUUUCUGGCAUUGAGGUCAGGCUUCAUAUGUGAUCCACAAAUCUAAGAAGAUUGGUACAACAGAGAGAUUACUCGACUAGCCCUCUGCGCAAGAGCAAGCGCAAGCAAUGCUACUUUAUCAUUAACGCAUUGGCUUGGCUAGCCUGGACAAAGCCCCAACAGUCAGUCUUCACAAGCACUGAUGAAAAGCCAGCUCUUCGAACUAAAUCCAAGCCCCGUAGAACAGCUAAGGCUUCACGCUUCAGGCUGCACGGAAGAAGUUGCCUUAGAACUUAGAAGGGCCUGAGUAAGCAGCUAAGCCCUGGAGAGUGGAGAUGUAUACCUUGACACUAGGAAACAACACCAAAGGUGCAUCCCCUUUAUUGUACGUUAACGGUAGGACCCAUGAAAAGGCAAAUUGUAAGUCAAAGUUUGAAAUGCGAAAGUUCCCUCCAUGGCUCCAUUGUC